GGCGAACCACACGAACGUUCUUCUGAAUUACUGGGCUUAAAGGGUGCGUAGGCGGCGCAGAAAGUUGGGUGUGAAAUCCCUCGGCUCAACCGAGGAACUGCGCCCAAAACUACUGUGCUUGAGGAAGAUAGAGGUAAGCGGAACUUACGGUGGAGCGGUGAAAUGCGUUGAUAUCGUAAGGAACACCUGUGGCGAAAGCGGCUUACUGGGUCUUUUCUGACGCUGAUGCACGAAAGCCAGGGGAGCAAACGGG
rnacentral:rRNA from 1 species